rnacentral:snRNA from 1 species
AUCGCUUCUCGGCCUAUGGCUAAGAUCAAAGUGUAGUAUCUGUUCUUAUCAGCUUAAUAUCUGAUACGCUCCGCAUGCGGAGCCAGUAUAUUAAACUGAUUUUUGGGAAUUGACAGGAGUCAGGGGCUUGCUCCGUUUCUGUCGCGGGUUGGCCUUGUAUUGCAGUACUGCCAAGGAUCGGCCCACAUAAU